UACGGGGGGGCAAGCGUUGUUCGGAAUUACUGGGCGUAAAGGGCUCGUAGGCGGCCAACUAAGUCGGAUGUGAAAUCCCCAGGCUCAACUUGGGAACUGCAUCCGAUACUGGAUGGCUUGAAUUCGGGAGAGGGAUGCAGAAUUCCAGGUGUAGCGGUGAAAUGCGUAGAUAUCUGGAGGAAUACCGGUGGCGAAGGCGGCAGUCCUGGACCGACAUUGACGCUGAGGAGCGAAAGCUAGGGGAGCAAACGGGG
rnacentral:rRNA from 1 species